UUCAUCAUUUAUUACCUUAUCUUGUUUUCCCGUAGUUAUUUAAAUCUCUAUAUUCAGAAGUUCGAGAUAAGUAGCACCACAAUGUUUGACUCCUCUAGUCGCUUUAUCGUUUGUCUAGGUUCUUAACUGUACGAGAAAUGUAGGCCUCGAUCCCUUUCCGCACAAGACAAACCAUUUGUGGAGACUCACUCAUUAGUGCCGUAUAUCCCGAUUUUGAGCCUAUGGAAAUGGAUUUGGAAAACGGGAAAGAAAAAAUGAAAAGGUUACUUUUCACCAGAGUCUCAGUGGAUUUAAAUUUUCUAUUGACUUGAUUGCUGAAAGAAAACUGAGACAGCUAUUUUAAAGCGGUUUUUACAGUUACUCAGUGCCCAGAGCUUGGUUUGCUUUGUUACUUGAAACGACCACUUGUGAUUACAAGUAGCAACAGCUCUUGAAAAAGUCAUAAGGAAAAUUCAUUGCUCUACCCGUCCCUACUUGUCGUCAAACUACAUCAGAAAACAAGCAUCGCAAUAAAUGAUCCUUUAAAAGAUUGCUAAGUGACAAGCAGGAAAGCAACUUGACAUAUAGGAUAAUGGAUGCUUUCAAAACAGAUACAAAUAGGAUUUUUUUAACGUACCUUAAUUGACUUAUAUUACUCGUCAAAGAGGAUUUGCCUCUUUCCGGAGAAGUCAUGUUCUGCUUAUAUAGGGGCAAGACGAUUGUUGUACAAGAUCUUCUUAGCGAAGAAAUCCUUCGGGAGCUCAAAAACCUUGGCGAGGUGCAAAGUUUGUGUAGAACCAAUAUCGCGCACAACCUGUUGUUUAUUCGCAAGCAUUUUUUCAUCGAAAUACUCCUACUGGAAUCAACCGUACCUGGCACAAAUAGAAGCAUACAAAGAAUCAAAAGUCUUGCUGAAAUUUGUCUCGAAGAAACCGCAACUGAAUGCGGAUUUAAAAUAUUAAUUUACUCUUACCAUUUAAUCACUCGCUGCUGGACGAAUGCUGGAGUUAAUGCACUAGCUGGGGAUGUUAUCGUUCAUCACAAAACUGUGCAUGAUGAGCUUCGUAUUAUUUCCGUGUCAGCAACGUCGAUUACCCCGAUUACCUACGAAAAUAUUUUUUUUGUAAAUACAAUUUAAAUGUAUA